rnacentral:tRNA from 1 species
GGAGGGGUGGCAGAGCGGUUGAAUGCGACGGUCUUGAAAACCGUUGGUCGCCUCGGGUGACCCGUGGGUUCGAAUCCCACCCCCUCCGCCA